rnacentral:rRNA from 1 species
CAAGGAGGGUCANGCGUUAUCNGGAAUUACUUGGGCGUAAAGCGUUCGUAGGCGGUUAUUUAANGUUAGAUGUGAAAGCCCCGGGCUUAACCUGGGAACUGCAUUUAAAACUGGGUAACUCGAGUUUAGGAGAGGGAAGUGGAAUUUCAGGUGUAGCAGUGAAAUGCGUAGAGAUCUGAAGGAACACCAGUGGCGAAGGCGACUUCCUGGACUAAAACUGACGCUGAGGAACGAAAGCGUGGGUAGCAAACGGGAUUAGAUACCCCGGUAGUCCACGCCGUAAACGAUGUCAACUAGCCGUUGGGUUUAUUUAUAGACUUAGUGGCGGAGCUAACGUAUUAAGUUGACCGCCUGGGGAGUACGGCCGCAAGGUUAAAACUCAAAUGAAUUGACGGGGGCCCGCACAAGCGGUGGAGCAUGUGGUUUAAUUCGAUGCAACGCGAAGAACCUUACCUACCCUUGACAUCCAGAGAAUCUGUUAGAGAUAGUAGAGUGCCUUCGGGAACUCUGAGACAGGUGCUGCAUGGCUGUCGUCAGCUCGUGUCGUGAGAUGUUGGGUUAAGUCCCGUAACGAGCGCAACCCUUAUCCUUAGUUGCCAGCACAUAAUGGUGGGAACUCUAAGGAGACUGCG